CUGAAACUCCCUCUGUAGACCAGGCUGGCCUCAGACUCCCAGAGAACCUGUGUCUACUUCUGAGCGCUGGGAAUGAAGGAUUGUCAGUGAAUCGAGUUGUCUGUGGAGCCCCUGAGCAAAUUCUCCCAGUGGCAGGUUGGACUUGAACUGGCACUGUUGCUGGGGAUGAUCGUGAUGAUGGUCCUUCUGUCUCUGUCUCCCAAGUGCUGUCUCGCAAAAGGGGAGGAAGGCCUUCACCGCUGAACCCGAGCUUUGCCAUUUCGAAGUGCUGAGUCACCUCGUCCUCUCAGGGUCAGACACUUUCACGCAGGAAACGUCCUGCAGAGCACCGCAGCGGGAGCACCGAGCUGGGUGGUAAUUUAUUCUAGAACCGAUGUGCCAGCGUUUCCUUCUGUGUGCUUUGAGUAGGAGCAGGAACAACGGAUCUCUCCAAGCAUGGGCAGACGGAGAGCUGCAACCCUUGGACCAACCAACGCCUGCCAGUGGGCGCCUGCAUC
rnacentral:lncRNA from 1 species